rnacentral:rRNA from 1 species
UUCCAGACUCCUACGGGAGGCAGCAGUGGGGAAUAUUGGGCAAUGGGCGCAAGCCUGACCCAGCAACGCCGCGUGAAGGAAGAAGGCUUUCGGGUUGUAAACUUCUUUUGUCAGGGACGAAGCAAGUGACGGUACCUGACGAAUAAGCCACGGCUAACUACGUGCCAGCAGCCGCGGUAAUACGUAGGUGGCAAGCGUUAUCCGGAUUUAUUGGGUGUAAAGGGCGUGUAGGCGGGAAUGCAAGUCAGAUGUGAAAUCCACGGGCUCAACCCGUGAACUGCAUUUGAAACUGUUUCCCUUGAGUGUCGGAGAGGCAAGUGGAGUUCCUAGUGUAGCGGUGAAAUGCGUAGAUAUUAGGAGGAACACCAGUGGCGAAGGCGGUCUGCUGGACAGCAACUGACGGUGAGGCGCGAAAGCGUGGGGAGCAAACAGGAUUAGAUACCCGAGUAA